UACCAGCACCCCGAGUGGUCGGGACGAUUAUUGGGCCUAAAGCAUCCGUAGCCGGCCUUACAAGUCCUCCGUUAAAUCCAGCUGCUUAACAGAUGGGCUGCGGAGGAUACUAUAAGACUAGGAGGCAGGAGAGGCAAGCGGUACUCAGUGGGUAGGGGUAAAAUCCUCUGAUCCAUUGAAGACCACCAGUGGCGAAGGCGGCUCACUGGCCCGGUACUGACGCUGAGGUGCGAAAGCGUGGGGAGCAAACAGG
rnacentral:rRNA from 1 species